CUGCGGGCGAGGGGCGGAGCGCAGAGACCCUGUGGCUGCCAUGGCCGCCUCCCCCUCCCCGCAGCCUCCCUUAAAUACUAUGGGGCGGCCGUAGCUGCGCCGGGCGCCGCCGCUGAGCGCACCAUGCGGGCUGUCAUCGCCUUGGCCGCGGCGCUGGGCAGCCUGCUGCUCGGAGGCUGUCUCCUGCGCCUGGGCGGCCAGCAGCCCCUCCGCGCCAGGGGCUGGGAAGAGGAGGCAGGAGUAGCGGCUGUCACGCCGAAAGUGGUGCGAGCCCUCAGGUCUCCCCUGACGCCCUUUCCUCACACCGAGAACAGGUACGGGCUGGCCGCCCGCAGAACAACUCUUAAUAAAAAUGGAAUUUACCAGCUUGAACAGGCUUCAAAAUGUAAGGCAAUUCAGGACAACAUUUUGUCAUCAUCUAUCAAGAAGAAAAGAUACUCAGAAGAUUAUUAUCUUCACAUAGUCACAAAACUGCAGAACUGCACCUGGAUAAGGAAACCAGAAGAAUCUACAAAAUUCAGGUCAGAAUUAGCUUCCUGCUGUGAUGCAGUUCACAAUUUUAUUGCUUCUCAAAACAACAGCCCACUGGGAAGUAACAUGAGUUACGAAGUGGACAGUAAAAAGACUAUCCUCAUUACAGAGGACAUUUUUAAGAUGCUGCCUGUGUCCUCUCCUCUUUCAGUCUAUCCCUUCAAGAACUGUGCUGUGGUUGGAAAUGGAGGCAUUCUGAAAAAUUCCAGCUGUGGAGCUGAAAUCGAUAGCUCUGACUUUGUUUUCAGGUGUAACCUCCCUCCAACCACAGGAAACAUUAGCAAAGAUGUUGGCAAUAAAACAAACCUUGUGACUGUUAACCCGAGUAUCAUAGCUCAGAAAUACAACAAGCUAAAUGAAAAGAAGACAGAAUUUCUGGAAAACAUUGCGGCCUAUGGAGAUGCUUUUCUUUUACUGCCAGCAUUUUCCUUCAGAAGCAACACAGCCACUUCUUUUAAAGUAUACCACACUCUGAAAGAGUUCAAAGCAACCCAAAGGGCGAUAUUUUUUCACCCCGCUUAUCUGAAAAGUCUUGCCCAGUUCUGGAGAACUAAGGGUGUGAAAGCCUACCGGUUGUCAUCUGGUUUUAUGAUCACUAGUGCUGCUCUUGAGCUGUGUGAGAAUGUGAAGCUCUAUGGUUUCUGGCCUUUCUCAAAAUCCAUAGAGAAGAUGCCAAUCAGCCACCACUAUUAUGACAACCAGCUGCCUAAACCGGGUUUCCAUGCAAUGCCCAAAGAAUACAACCAGAUCCUUCAGCUUCAUGGCAAAGGCAUUUUGAAGUUGCAGUUUGGUAAAUGUGAAUCAGACUAAAAAGCAGAACUAUCCUGUUGAAGAAACAGAAUAAUUGCAAUCUCUGGCAAUUUCAAAAUAUGAAUAAGAUAAUAUAAUUUAGAACAUAUCAAUAUUCAAAUUAGCAAUGAAAGUGUCCCCAUGAAGAUACUGGCUAGACCUAGCCUUGGUUAGCUUGGGAAGCCUGAAGAGUGUGGAGCAAGUGAGGGUGAUGAUCCUAAGGAGUCAAUUUGUGUGUAUCUCAGCAGUUCGGUGUUGGAUUUGCUCUGAUGUGAUUUUGUGAGCAUUAAACUGCAUUAUUACAAUAGAGAAAUAUUUUACAUUUGGGGGGAAAAGGGAGUGAUUUUUUUCACACAGUGACUGCUACAUUUACAAAUUUUGAGUAAUCAUUUUUUAAAAUACAAAGUAACAAUAAUUUGGAAAAUUCUGAAACUCCUUACUGCUGGUUUAAUGGUAGCAAAGCACAAUCUCAGGAUGGUGGCAAUAUAUGACAUUCAUCAUGUUUUGCUUCUGAGAGGAUCAUUAAAAUAUUUUGACAUAAGUUCUCUGGUUUUGUUGAUACCACAUAGUAUAGGCAAUAGUAUCUGUAUGGUGGCUGCAUGAGUUGGCAGUGAAUGUUUUCAAUUAAGAACUUCAUCCUGUAAAUACUGGCAUUUUUCUACAUGAGAGAAGUGAUAAGAGUAGCUGCAGAGGAGUAAUAAAUUCAGAGCCAUGUCUUUCUUAGUUUGACCCAGGGUGCAUAGAUGAGAAAAUCCCUCAGGUCAGAGGUAGUUAAGUGGUUUAUGGGCUUUCAUUUUGUGGGCAGUAAGUAGUGCUGUGGAUUUAACAAGCUUUCAUUUUGUGAGCAAUAGAUGAUGCUGUGGAUUUGAUGGGAUCACUCAUAUGAGUGAUGUUAAUUCUAAGAACAAGUGUAUGAAGGACCAGAGCUUUAUAAUUAUUUAUAAACCACUCUGCUUGCUUGUGUUCCUGUAUAAGGUCCAGUUCAGCUCCAAAUGAGAACCAUGAACCUGGUUUCACACUACAAUCCCCAGAGCAUGACUUUGCACACAUUCUUGCUAUUGCAGCUCUGUGUCUUGUUUGAUACAUGAGAUGGAAUUUCCAUUAGAAAGAUGAUGGGUACCAAGCCUAUAAUUCAAUUUCUUUUCAUGUAGUAUAGCUUGUAUUCAUGUUACUACAGAUAAUGAAACUGCACUAAACAUUAUCAGAAGGAUGAUCCUUUUACCAUCAACCCCAAGCUCUUCUAUGCCAGGAUGUAUGAGAAAGCCAACUACAUUCCCCUAAUUUAUAACCUGUGUAGUUCUUUAAGUUUUCCAUAUGGUCCAAGAAUACAUAUGGGGCAACACCCAGCAGCAAGAGAAAGUGAAAUAUCAGCCCAGAGGAAAGAAUCACUUUAACUUUUACAGGAGCUUUGACAAGCAAUUGUACCCUAGCUUUUACUGCUCCACUGCAGAAAAAAAAACCCAAUCAAGCAAGCAAUCAAAAUUUAAAAAUUGUAAUAAACAGUUUCUGUUAAGAGUUCCACUGAUUCUUUUGAGAAUCCUUUGAAUGGUCAGUUCAAAGACAGAGUGUCCUUCUACAGUCAGAUACUAUCAGGUAUUUUGUUUAGUACAAUUUCUUUUGCUACUGCAGCAUUAAAUCCCAAAUCAACUGAUUUAAAGAGCAUUCAGUAUUCCACUCUUCCAGGAUUAUAUCUGAAAAAAAAAUUCCCACUUAAAUGAAUUGGACCUUAUGAAAUAAGGUUCAGAAAAGCCUUUUAAAUGUAUAUUUCAUAAGAGCAUUACUGUAUUGUAAUAUUUGAAAGCUUACCUUGAAGCAGUUUUAUAAUCACAUAAACACUCCUGGAAGUAUUAGAAUCAAUCAUUAUGGUUGCAGGUCUGUUGAUUGAGCAUCUGGAUCCAUUUCCAAGAUAAUGAUCUCAGAAUCCAAUAUUCCUCCUACCCAAGCAGAAGAGUCCAUAAAUUCUGAUUACAGCUAUCAGCAAUAAAGUACAUUUUUUGAAAAUAAGGGGUUUUAAAAAAUACGUAGUGCUUUGGGGAAAUAACUGAUGCCACUAGUACACAUGAGGACCUCUGAGUGUCAGUAGAGCCUUUAACAGAAACAAAGACAGCAGAAUUGAGCUGAUGAGUCCAUCUGCAUUACCAACUGGUAACUGGAAGAGGGGAGCACAGGGGUUUUAUUUAUUCUGAACUGUUCCAGUUCCAGCACCACAAUCCACAUUUUUUCUUUCCCAGCAAUGAAAUUUUUGCCAUUUUCUGGCCACAGGCAUCUAUUGCUCAUGUGCGGAGACCUGGCUGCUGCAAGUACCUGCACCCAUGUUACAAGUGUUAUAGAUGGUUGCCUACUGCAAUAUCCUAGCUAUAGAUCAAAGAUAAAUUUGCUCCCAAAAGACCAUCUCCUCUGCUAUAAAUCAGUCACAUGGAGUGUUUUUAGUAGAAGCUGUGCAAAGUGAUGUAGUUGUCCUUUGGGUGAGGCAAACAGCUGAGGUUGAGAACCUUGCUGCAUUUCAUCCAGACAGACAAAGGCCACCUGUGUUCAUGUAAGGACUGUAGCUUAUUCCAGUCUAGUGUAGAGCAGUGAGGUGUUCUUGGCCGUGUAGCAGCUACAUGGUUUGUCUUGGGGAAAAUUCAUGCAUCUUUUACAGGUUUUUACAUUGCAUCCAGAACAAUUGCAAGUGCUCUAUGCGCACAUAGAGAUAAUGUAAGAUCAUUCAUUGCUCAGACUAAAUUCAGUUAACUACUCAGCAUGAGUAAAGGGGAAAAACCUGAUUGUGUGAAGUAGAAGAUGGGGAGAGGAGAAAAUGUAAUUUAUCUGCAGGGAAGAAGCCACUUUUUUUCAAAAGCAUUUGCUAAUUAGUACCAUGUUGCACUUAGUGAAUAAGUAUAAAUAGUGUACCAUGACACACCACAAAGAGCUGAAGUUACUCUGUGUUGGAACUAUUUCUGUGCAGCUACAUGAUUUGAAACACAUGUGUAUUAGUAACUGGAAAGACCACCAGAAUACAUUUUAAGAGAUGUUUAUCCAAAAAGAGAAAGUCUAUUCUGGCUUCCUUGAUGAAAAGAGGUCUUAACUGAAGGAAUGUGAUGUAGCACUCACAACUGAGAGCAAGUGGAAAUUUCUGUGGUAUGGGCAGCCACUGACUUUUUAGCACUGUUUCCACAACGUUUAAACUUGCCAAUGACUUGAAGACCUGAUCUUCCAUGCUGUCAAGGCUCUCAGUGAUUUAUGGAACACUGGGCUGAUAAGAAAUUCUUGAAGGAAGUGUUGACCUUUCCUACCCUUUCCUACAACUGCUCUAAACUCUCUAUAGAAUAAAAAUAUACUCUGUUAGACUUUAGAUUGAGAUCCUCAGGCCUUGCUCCAGACAUGAAGUUAGUAUGAGGUGUUAGUUGCAUCCACUUCACUCUACAGGAGGGCAGACAUUGUACUCAGCCUUAUUAUAGCUACUGGUGCUGUGUGCAGGGUGGCUGGCUUGUGUUAAUUCAGGUGCAGGCUGGGCAAGUUAGUAGUGGAAUUUCUGCACCACGGGGUACCAUCAGAUUGCUCAAGACUUGCUGAAGUACAUUCACUGUGAGAAAUUAUGUUUUCUUGGUUAGCUGAGUACAUUAUUUCUAGUUUAUUUAAGACCUUUUCCAGGUUAAUAAUAGUAAAUGGAUUUUAUACCUGGCUGGAAAUGUUUAUGACACUGUUGCACAACUGAGUCUACAUCAGUUUGGAUUAAGGAUUCUUGACCUAAGGUUAGUAAGGACCUUUCAAUUCCCUCUAUUUCACAUCAGAAAUAUUCAUUUUUAGGGUUUGUGGGCCUCCAAUGCUGUCACAUGCUGUGGAAUGAAUAUUGAGAUUAAAUAGUUUUCUAAAGAUAGAAACACUGACAGUGUGCUAAUAUUUCCACUGUACCUUUUCAGAAGCUGACAGUGUCCUUGCACAACUGCAUCACAGCAUCAUUAGAUUAAAGCCUGCCUUUUAUUCCUUUUUCUCCUCAGAAUCUCUAAUGUUGCAUCCUCCUUCAGGAUCCAGUGCUGUCUUGAGUUGGUUGUCUUUACCCUGUGGAGUGUUACACAGCCCUUUUUAAUGUCUGUUAGGGAGUUUGUGUGACUGUGAAUCAAACACUGCUAUGCUUGCAGCAUAAUAAAACAUUCUGUAAAUGACUGGGUUUACACCUCAAGGAAGGUAGCUUGGUGUGAUAUUCACAUUGCCUAACUGGAGCUGCUAAAGUUGGUCUGUGGCUGCAUGGUGACUUAAGCUGGAAUGGCUGCAAGGUCCAUUCCCCAUUCUCAUGCUGCACCUCUCCCUUCAUGCUGUGUCUGACCUCAGCCUGUCCCACACCAAGCUGUUUUGGCACCCUGAGAUGGCAAAACCCUACCAUGGCAACAGAACAAGAAAAUUGGUUCAUGCCACGAGAUAGGGGAAUUUCAGAGUCAAAGCAAAGGAGGGAGUAAGACCACUCGGGUGGAAUUGUAGGGACACAGUAGGUGCCUUUUGUUAUCCAACAGCUGUUGGACAGACCCAGUGGCCCCCUGAAAGCUUGACCACAUCCAGAAGGUAACUUCUCUGAGGCUCUGCCUUGUCAGAAUGGAGAGAUGAGCCCCUGCAAGGGGGAUUGGCAGCACAGCAGCUGUUCCGGUGGACCGGAGCCCAUCUCUCCCUGUGGUACCAGAAGGUGCUUAAGGCAUCUACACUAAGGACUCUGGGUGCCAACACUGCUGAUUAUUGCUCACCCUUCUCUCAUUCCCAUUACAGUCAUUUUAACAAGCUGGCAACCCCAGCAGAUUCAGAAAUAAGUAGAAAAAUUGUCAAUUCACUGAUAGUAAACUUGCAUAAACUUGCUUGUUAUUCAGCAUGCCUUUGCUUUCAGCCUCUUUUAAUCCCAGCAUCUAAAACAGCAUCUGCAGAGAAAAGAGGUGAACAAGGCCUGAGGGGGUCGAGAGUUUGAUUCUCUUUCCUUUGUGUAUUAGUGAGAUGACUGCCAUACCACCAUGCUUGACAAAAGAUUAAAUUCUCUGUCUUGAGUGACUCAGGAAAAGAAACUAAAUUAUCUAGGUGACUUCUGGCCCUCUGUGGCUCUCUAAAGCACUAGCAAAAUUUUCCUGUUGUUAGGUAUUAGUUGAUUUUAUUCUGUCCAAAUAUCUGGAUCAGUUAAUUCAUCUGGGUUAGACUGAUCAUGUACACCUUGAGCCUGUACAGACUCUGUGGUGGAGCUGCAGCCUACCACAGCAAUCUAGGUUUAGAUCCAUUUGACCUACAGAUCUUUUUUUGUUCUUUUACUUCCUCUCCUGUGACAAAUUCCUGGAGGGAGGUUCUGAAUAUGCAUGCAGUAACUCCUAAGGACACUCAGGUCCACAAAGCACACAUCCACCUGUAUACAGGAGUCUGUGAGAUCAAACCCAAGGAAUAUUCUGUGGAGGACUUCAUUUUGUAACAAGUCUGUCUCAAACAGCUAAUAACCUCUUGCAGCAUGCUUUGAAGCAGUAGGCUUCUUACACACAAGUCUUUUAGUUAAACGUAUCUUAGUUUGAAAUAUUCAAAGCCAGUUACUCCUUCAUCUUGUGCUACUUGAGCAGCAGAUCUCUUUAAUCUCUAGGUCUGCUAGCCAACAACAGUGACAAGGGGGCAAGUAGUUAUUUUAGAAGGCUCAACUCUCUCUUUAUUUUGAAUUCUGUCAUUCUAGGAUCUAGGAUCGUCCUUCUCUGAGUUUCUGGACAGAAAAAUUUCAGAUGUUGCUAAUCUCUCAGGCUACUCUGGGGAAAUCCUUAAGGCUUUUCACCCACAGCAUACAACAAGUGGGCAGAUUUAUAUUUAUUAACCUUUGUUCCAGAUUUUCAUAAAGUAUUUAAUUGGCUCAAAAUUAUUAUUAUGAUCAAGUAGAGCAGAAAUGCUCUGCAGCAUGCCACUAAACAAAGGGAAAAUUGCAGCUAUUUCAUGGUCUCCUUUCAUAAGGGCACAUUUCAGAACACCAUCCUAUUCUGGGAACACGGCUCACCAGGAGUCUGACCCGGGGUUACUGGGUUACAGCUACGGGGAUAGCAGCCUGUCAGUGAGCUCUCGGUGUCGAGCAGAUUCCAGCAGUGCAGCAAGAGCUUAACACGAGGGUAGUACAUCAGCUUGAGUUUGCCACUGACCAAGGCAUCAGUGUAGUACUGUGAUGUGUGGUGAUUGAGCUCACGUCACCCUGAGCACAAGCAAUAACUGCCCUUGGGUAGCAGGUGUUGGCAGAUGCUGGUUUAAGGAUGAAAACAGUCUGGUUGUGAAAGACAAGGAAUGGCAUCCUCGUGUUGCUAUCAAAGGAAUGUUCAAGUCUGUCUUUUGCUAAAUCUUGAUGCACCUUCAGCAGUACAUCAGUGUGUGUUGCCACACCUGGUACUUCUGUGUCUUGUCUUUGUUUCAUCCCUCUUUUCUCCAGUGUGGGAUAAAACUCACAGUGCAUGAUGGAAGUAUUUAAUGAUCCCAUCAUGGUUUCAAGGCAAGAGCCCAUCAGGAUGAAUCAUGCAAAUGCUUAUGACAGGAUAACCUGUUGUCAAUAUUGCUGGGUUUAAAUUCCUCACUAUUCACUUUAGUCCCUUUGUUUAGACAGGAGGAGAUUCUUCACAGCAAGUCUGUAGGCCAACAACAUGCUAGGCUUCUCCGCUCUUGGCUUGGCUGUGAGAUGUUUCCCUAAAAACACUUCCUCCUUGGUGGAUUUAUUGUCAGUGUUUACAAUACAAAUCCAUUCUUGAAUUCUUGUGACACUGAAGUAUAACAGCAGACAUUUCUGCAUUUUUAUACGUACUGUUUGUGUAGUGGCUUCAUACGUAUUCUUUAUCUUAAUAUUCUUGAUAUUCUUUUGAGUACCUAAUUAAAAUUAUUUUAAAUAUUAUUAUUUUUUAAUGUCACCAGAGUAAAGUGUGUGGGAAGUUACAUAAUGUCAUCUAAAAAAACAGCCAUACAAGCCAAAAUAAUUUUAAAGGUAUUUGACUGAUUUCUGGAGGAGUAUUUUCAUUAGUCAUUUGGACACUUGCAUCUUAGUUUUAUCUUUCUAAGAUAGGCCUAAGAGGCAACCUCUGCUUCUGAUUUAGUUCAAGAUCUACAAGGGACAAAACAGGUGAAUGGAGAGGUCCUACAGUGGGCCACUCCUCAGGGAUGGCAAAUGUGUGGCUUUUCUUUUCAGAGACUGGUCCAUGUGUCGAAAUGUAAUUUCAUAAAGUUACCAUGACAGCUUUUGCCCAGAGGUUUCAUUGUCUCUUGAAAUGUAUAUUGUUUGCAUUCAUUUCAGCUCCAUUCUUUCCAAUGCAAUUGUCAAAGCAGAGCUUAUCCCCCCUUGGAGCUGGUAAAAUUGUGCUCCUCCACAUGCACCAAACUCUCUGAAGCUGCUAGUGUCGGCUCUGCUGCUGCUGUUCCAAAAAGGUUCCUUAAAUUCUCUCAGUGCUGAACUUAUUUAUGUUUUCAGACGUGAACUUGAUAUUGUCUGAGUAGAAUGUGUGCAGUGUAAUAUAGAAAUGUCUCUGCGCAGGGUUUAGGAGGAGGCAGGAGCCCCUCAGCUGUGUGUGUGUGCUUUUAUUACAGAGAACCAAGAUGAAGUUGUACUGUUUAGUCACCUGUUACAGCUGGUUUAAUUUGUACUUUGUUUUCAUGUUUUAAGUGCCUGAUGCUUUUUUUGUCAAGGAGGCAAUGGUUUCACUGUUAUAAGGCAUACUUAGAAUUCUGUACUUGUUACCUGUUCUGUAAUAGAAUAUUUUUGCAAUUUAUGUUUGGAAAUAAAGACUUAUUAGGCAUAA